UACGGGGGGAGCAAGCGUUGUUCGGAUUUACUGGGCGUAAAGGGCGCGUAGGCGGCCAGCACAAGUCGAGUGUGAAAUCCCCCGGGCUUAACUUGGGAAUUGCGCUCGAAACUACGUGGCUGGAGUGCGGCAGAGGAAGGUGGAAUUCCACGUGUAGCGGUGAAAUGCGUAGAGAUGUGGAGGAACACCAAUGGCGAAGGCAGCCUUCUGGGCCGACACUGACGCUCAUGCACGAAAGCGU
rnacentral:rRNA from 1 species